rnacentral:rRNA from 1 species
UACAGAGGUCUCAAGCGUUGUUCGGAUUCAUUGGGCGUAAAGGGUGCGUAGGUGGCGCUGUAAGUCGGGUGUGAAAUUUCGGAGCUUAACUCCGAAACUGCAUUCGAUACUGCGGUGCUUGAGGACUGGAGAGGAGACUGGAAUUCAUGGUGUAGCAGUGAAAUGCGUAGAGAUCAUGAGGAACACCGGUGGCGAAGGCGGGUCUCUGGGCCGAUACUGACGCUGAGGAGCGAAAGCGUGGGGAGCAACAGG